UCAACCACCUGGAGGAUUACAGAGCCCUCAUGAUGCUGUAGGGGGCAUCCGAUAUCCUCCUCUACCAAGCUUUCUCGAUGACUCAUAAGAGAAGCAUGAGAGUCUAGUUUUCAAGCAUUCUGCAAGGAUCUACUUACUCCUUCGAGCAAAUAGAAAAGUUGUUCGUUGACCACUUUGGCAGUCGGAGGCCGCAGCCAUAGAACAGUGAU
rnacentral:lncRNA from 1 species